CGGGAGAGGCGGCGUGCGGGGAAACCUGUGUCCCGUUCUGGGCUCCUCGUGUAAUCAUUCAGCCUUAAAUGCACUGUAGCACACAUACCAGGAUCGUGCUUGUCUCUGGAUCCAGAAAAGUAGUCAACAAUUGCAAUAUUGUAACUGCACCAUGGAGAGCCAGCACACC